GCAUGUCCACUUGCAAGAACCUCGAUUGCCCAUCACUACUCUACUUGGUUGUUCUAAAUUUUAUUGUGGCAUAGUUCAUGCUUUGCUAACAGCAUAUAAUGCUCCAAAUUCAAGCUCCCUGCAUCUCUUACAUCUUUGGUGGCUAUAAUUCAGCUCUCCUGUCAAUUGCUUAAGGCCUCAUCCUUGAAUGUGACAUGAAGAACAGAUAUUAGCAAAUGGUUCACGUAACUUAUGUAAAUGCAUGAGAAAACCUUCCAAGAUCAUUCUCUCAUUCAUCUAACAAUAGCCAUGUGAAGUAUGCAGGAGCACCAUUUUAAGAAUACACAGGACAAUGGAUUUUUCUGAACAUGGAGCAAUUGUUGAGGCUACUGACUCUCUGGAGUGGGUGACCAAGGAACAGAUGACUGGGCAUUCUCCUCAUGAGCAUAAAUCCAGAGGUUCUGUCUGUUUGAGGUCUCUGCUUCAGAAUUUGGUAUAAAUUUUAAAGAAAGCUUCAGAAGAGAAGGAUUUCUCCGAAGAGUUUCCUGAAAUCUUUUCAAGAAAAUUCCAAAAAAGAUGGAGCUAGCACCCCAAAAGAUAAAACAUUAAAACUCAAAAAAAAGAUGGAAAGAGAGCAGUGGAGGUGAGAAGUGUUUGAUUAGACCCUUGUUCAUUAGCAGUGGCCAUGCGAGGCUGGCUUGGGGUAAGUUAGAAGUCACAUGCACGAUAGUCAGAGCUCAUAAUGUAGAGAAAACAGGUAGCACCAUUCCCACAGACUCCAUAGUGCACAGUCACCAGUUCCUAAGUCUAUUUAAGAAGCAUAGGUUCUUAGAGAUGACUGUGACUGUGUGUGUGUGUGUGUGUGUGUGUGUGUGUGUGUGUGUGUGUGGAUACUUGUCUCCAUGUUUAUGGAUGGAGUAGAAGUGGGGGACAUUAGAGAGCACGCAUCAAUUAUGAAUUAGAUUUUGAAGUUUUAAUGCUUAAAAUAACCUUCAGUUCUGCAAAAGGUUUGCUUGCCAGAAUGCAUAACAACAUAACAACUCUCCUAUCCAUGAUGUCAACUGCUCUAUGAUGGGUUUGUAUCAACAUUUCCUUUCUUCAUAGUGCCUGGUGUAAUGAAACGUCUUUCAUGUUCAGCCUGAUGUCACAUGCACAUUCAAUACUUCUGUGUGUUUUCUUUUCUGUUCACAGCUUCUUAUUUGCAGAAAUAAAUUUUAGACAUAUGUUUUGUGAA